UAUAAAUGGUUGUCUUUUUGGCCAUACAAUAAAUUCUUAGCAUAAAAAAUGUAUUGUGGAUUAUAAUGCAUAGUAAUUAAUAUAAUUAAAGAUUAUUUAUCUUCCCUUGGUAUUGUCUGCUAUUUUUAUUAUGGAUAACCAUAUGAAGAAUUCAAACUUAAUGUUGUGUAAGUGAGAAUCAGUCUGAACUGCCCAUAUGGAAACUUUUGUCCUCUGGCUAACUACAUAGAAGAUAGAAUAGGCAGAGAAAAAUAGAUUAAAUCAUUUUUCAACAAUAGAUAAUUAAAUCACAUUGCAGAAAACAAGGUAACAGGAGAAUUACGAUGUUUAGAGAGAGAGGACAGAGUCAGAGUUGGGUUGUUGGUAUUGGACAAAUGACAAGUGUUAGACAGAGAGAUAGUUGGUCUUUUGAAAAUGUAGGAGAAAAAGGAUGUUCCUUCCCAUCAGUGAUGUCCAAUGACAACAAAGGAGCAAAGAUGGCAUUUGUCCUAAAAAAGAAACAUGGAGAAAAUAAAGAAAAUAGAAGAAAAACUUUCUCUCCCAGUUAUGCCCGCACAACCCAAAAUCAAACAGCUCUUUCUUGUUCAAGAGUAAAAUUAUAACUCUUCUUAUUUUAUAUAUAGCUCAUUUACUUCCAUAACAAAUAAUGCUAGUUGUAUUUAUGUUGCAC
rnacentral:lncRNA from 1 species